AUUGAACGCUGGCGGCAGGCCUAACACAUGCAAGUCGAACGGUAACAGGAAGCAGCUUGCUGCUUUGCUGACGAGUGGCGGACGGGUGAGUAAUGUCUGGGAAACUGCCUGAUGGAGGGGGAUAACUACUGGAAACGGUAGCUAAUACCGCAUAACGUCGCAAGACCAAAGAGGGGGACCUUAGGGCCUCUUGCCAUCGGAUGUGCCCAGAUGGGAUUAGCUAGUAGGUGGGGUAACGGCUCACCUAGGCGACGAUCCCUAGCUGGUCUGAGAGGAUGACCAGCCACACUGGAACUGAGACACGGUCCAGACUCCUACGGGAGGCAGCAGUGGGGAAUAUUGCACAAUGGGCGCAAGCCUGAUGCAGCCAUGCCGCGUGUAUGAAGAAGGCCUUCGGAUUGUAAAGUACUUUCAGCGGGGAGGAAGGGAGUAAAGUUAAUACCUUUGCACAUUGACGUUACCCGAAGAAGAAGCACCGGCUAACUCCGUG
rnacentral:rRNA from 1 species